rnacentral:rRNA from 2 species
CCUACGGGGGGCUGCAGUGGGGAAUCUUGCGCAAUGGGGGCAACCCUGACGCAGCCAUGCCGCGUGAACGAUGAAGGCCUUAGGGUUGUAAAGUUCUUUUACCCGUGACGAUGAUGACGGUAACGGGGGAAUAAGCUCCGGCUAACUUCGUGCCAGCAGCCGCGGUAAUACGAAGGGGGCUAGCGUUGUUCGGAAUUACUGGGCGUAAAGCGCGCGCAGGCGGUUCGAUAAGUUGGGGGUGAAAUCCCCGGGCUCAACCCGGGAAUGGCCUUCAAGACUGUCGAGCUAGAGGACGAGAGAGGUGAGUGGAAUUCCCAGUGUAGAGGUGAAAUUCGUAGAUAUUGGGAAGAACACCGGUGGCGAAGGCGGCUCACUGGCUCGUUUCUGACGCUGAGGCGCGAAAGCGUGGGGAGCAAACAGGAUUAGAUACCCCAGUAGUC